AUUAUCUCUAAAUAUUAUAUAAUUAUGACACACAAAUAUACAUAUAGAUAGAAUUAAGAAGGAAGAACAGUCAGCUUUGAAGGAUGGUAUCACGAAAUCAGUGACAAUAAUACUGCUGUGGCUGAUCUGUCUGCAGAUAAUGGUAUGCUUUUUGUCACUGAUGACUGUUGAUAAGAGACACCUGUACAGAUGUCUUCAGAGUUAAUAUGUGUACACAAGCCAUUAUUCUUAAGGUGAGUACAUGGAAAAGGGGAAGAAAAAAAUGGGGUGGAAUCUCUUAUAGUUCAAUCUCACACCUUAUACAUUCCUCACCAUCAAAUACAAACACUUUCAUCUUUCUCAUAUUUAUUCUUCAUUCAAUUAUACAACAAUAUUUCUCAGACUUUGUUCAUUCACAACAAGGAGAAUAGUAGCAUUUGCAUAUAGUCGAUAGCGCGCACACUCAUCAAACUCAUUCACAGCAAUGCCAUUAUAUUUGCAUUCAUGUAUAUAUUAAACAGCCAUGAGGAUAUUAUACACACAUUAUUUUUUUUCAACUGCAAAUCAUUCUGAUAAGCCUUUAUUCAGUCUCACAUUUGCAGAACUUUUGGCAUGCAUUCUUCUCACUGCUUCAAACACUCUUCAUUCAGAUUAUGCUUCCUUAGCACUUUCCACAGUUUAUCCCUAUUUGCUCAUUCAAAUGUUUUUUUUAAGAUUCAUAAAUGCACAGAAUAUUCUCUUUCACUCCUGAAUUCAUGAUUGCACAUAGUAAAAGACAAAGCAGUCUGGCACUAGACAAAAAACUCUUACACUUUACAAAGUUGCAACAUUCAAAAUUAUCAAUAAUUAUAA
rnacentral:lncRNA from 1 species